rnacentral:rRNA from 1 species
GCAGGGAAUAUUGCACAAUGGGCGAAAGCCUGAUGCAGCGACACCGCGUGCGGGAUGAAGGCCCUCGGGUUGUAAACCGCUUUCAGGAGGGACGAAAAUGACGGUACCUCCAGAAGAAGGCCCGGCCAACUACGUGCCAGCAGCCGCGGUAAUACGUAGGGGCCAAACGUUGUCCGGAUUUAUUGGGCGUAAAGGGCUCGUAGGCGGUUCAACAAGUCGAUCGUGAAAGCCCGGGGCUCAACCCCGGGACGCCGGUCGAAACUGUUGUGACUAGGGUCCGGUAGAGGUGAGUGGAAUUCUCGGUGUAGCGGUGGAAUGCGCAGAUAUCGAGAGGAACACCAGUUGCGAAGGCGGCUCACUGGGCCGGUACCGACGCUAAGGAGCGAAAGCGUGGGGAGCAAACAGG